ACAGCAUUGUGUGUUUUCAUAACUCCACCUGGAAGCGGUGCAGAGGAGCGGGGGAGCAAAGUGGGGCUCUGCACACUGUUGGUGCACGGAGGAUGCGGGCUCUGAGCAACAAAUCACCGACAUCCAUGGGCAGGGGCACAGCUGCACCACGAAGCCUUUAACACGUCCUUCCUCCAUAAAACAAACAACCCGUCGCUAACUGGAAGUCACGCCGUUCUUACUUGGAGCCACGUGCUGAACGGACGGGCGCUGGGGCUGAGAUAAUGGUGACCCUUUGUGCGCGGAGCUGACGGAUGCAUCGCGCCCUGCGCGGAGCUCACCUCGCACCCGCAGUAAAUCAGCGGCGCUGAGCUCAGUGCUCCACGUGCACGUGGCCGUGGUGCAGAGCUGGGGAUCUUCUGGAUCGAUACGGCAAGUGCAUCGAGACUGUAGCAACACAUUUAAAACCUUAUAAAAGGUUAUUUAGUUGCUAACGGUGCAGCAGUUUCUGCAAAGCCUGCCAAAAGGUUACAGCUUUUUGGGCAUCAUAAAUUACGGACGACGGGGAAAAAAACUGCCCAACCUGUUCGUCCUGCUCUCCUGCUUGCAGGGAGGUGAGCACUUCCCAUGCGCUGCCCGUGGGGCUGGAGGGGGACAGUGCUGGAUUGGGACAGCAGCGCGCAGUGUUGGCACGUGGAUGAAGGGGCUGGAGCCAGGAGCACUCCUGCAGAUCAUUUCGAUUCGGGUAAAUCAGCGCUUUCCACUCCCCAAAGGAUAUUUCCCACCAGUUGGGCUGCGGGGUCACCUCCAGCAGAGAAGACCUUGAGUGAUGGAUGCUGUGUCUCGCAGCAGAUGCUACGAGGCGGUGAGGUGCUGCCGCUCAGAUGAGAAGAAAAGAGAAAGUGUCUUCAGCAGGCAGAAGUGACAAAGCGACACAGGAGCUGCCUCAUUUAAUAAUCAAGAAGGAGGGAAAAAAAACCUCCUUAGGUCUCUGGAAAAGAAACGCAUUCGUCUUAAAUAGGGGAACGCUCUGGGGAGCAAACCCUCCCCUUUGCCUCUGUAGCCCUUCACCUGGGACUUCGCUGCUCAUUUAGGAUGCAUUGUAUGGACACUGUAUGGGGAUGAGUGGAGGGCAGGGACAUGGCAGCUGCCCACAGGUUGGUGUAGGCGUGGCCUCAUGCUUUCCUUAACUGAGCAUCCUGUUGUGCUUUGCUGGGCUUUGCUGCUUUCCUGCUUGGCAGCGUGAGCAGAGCCCAUUGACACCUCUCUGCAUACAUCCCAGCUCCCCGCUGCCUGGCUGAGCUGCAUCCCAUAGGACACGGUCCCCAAAGGUCCAAGGAGGAGCGCUGUGGGAUGGGGUCAGCAGCUCCAUCCCGCUGUCCCCAGCCCUGCAGCACGUGCAUGCGAUGCAUGCAUCACAUCUCCUCUUACUUCUUUCCCCAGCGGCUACGAGUGCCGGCUGCGUUCUUGCUGCUAAAAGGAGAUGUUCCUUUAGCUCGAGUGCCCGCUGCCUCCUGCACUGUGCUGACAGAGGGUUUAAUCCCUGCUGACAGGCACUGUUUGUACAGGGGCCGUGCUUUCAGCCUGGUUCCUGUUGCACAGUGGUUGCAUAGCAGAGGAGCAGGGCAGAGAGCUGUAGACGCCUCUGUGCGCCUCUGCAGGACGCGAUGGCAGAUGAAGAUUCUUGCAAUAAUGUGAUAAUUGCACAAGCAUUAGCAAUGUCUACAGAGAGGAUGGGAGAGCAGGGAGGGCUGAGCUCCUGCUGCAGGGCUCAGCACUGGGCUGUGGACUCCCUGUGCCCCCAGUGCUCCUCGGAACCCCCCGCCCCAUGGUGCCCCCCAGCUCAGAGCUCAGAGCUAUGGGCAGCACUGAACUUCAGGUCCCUCCCAGCGGCUCCAGCCAUGACACAUGCACAAAGGCACCUUUUUAUAGGUAGGAAAUUAUAGGUGCCAUGACUUCAAAGGCUUUUGCAACAAGAGCUUUCCCUUUGAUAAGUGACAGCAUCAUUAAUGGUGAUUUAUUACACGGGCUAUUUCGACAAACAGAAAUAACCAGUUUCUUUUCAUUUGGAGCGGUGGUUCAUUUUGCUCUGGGCUACCCAGACAUACAAGGUGGCUGCUAACAGCUGUUUUACUGCUGGUAAGACAUCUCAUUUAUUAACAUGUCAUCAUGUGUCAUAAAGUUUAGCAAAAUGCUAGAUGAUUGUGUACUUAAGCCAGGUAAUUACCCCAUUAUUAAGGCUGCCUUCUU
ensembl:lncRNA